rnacentral:rRNA from 1 species
AUGAGCAGCGGCGGGCAUCUGUCGGUGUGCCGGAGUACAGCGGCGGGCUUCUGUGGUGUGCUGGAGUGCGCGGAUGACGAAAGCAGCGGAGGCAGCGGCCACGACCGUGCCCUCCUCUGCGCUUCCUCUCCAAAUACCCUCGGCUUCCGCACGGUGGAGACGGGUACACGGACUAGGCAGGCCACGGGACGACGGCUGGUCGAGCACCCACCGCAGCGAGGAGAGAUCGAGUACAACUCCCAGUUCAUGGAGGGGAUGCUGAUACAGGCCGAGCAGGCACCGGCAACACAUGAGCAGGAGGAGGAGCCCUUCCCAGGCUCGCGGGCCCGCUGCGAUGAAGCCGCCAGAGGAAGACCUGGACGACGACUGCUAGCCGAGGAGCCCCAAAGAAUUUCCCCAAACUUUCCUGUGCCUCCGCCCCCUCUUGAUUCAGUUGAGGGAGUACUCCUUGCUUCGAGAAGUACUUUUGAUUAA